rnacentral:rRNA from 1 species
UUAUCCUGGCUCAGAACGAACGCUGGCGGCGUGGAUAAGACAUGCAAGUCGAACGAGAGAAUUGCUAGCUUGCUAAUAAUUCUCUAGUGGCGCACGGGUGAGUAACACGUGAGUAACCUGCCCCCGAGAGCGGGAUAGCCCUGGGAAACUGGGAUUAAUACCGCAUAGUAUCGAAAGAUUAAAGCAGCAAUGCGCUUGGGGAUGGGCUCGCGGCCUAUUAGUUAGUUGGUGAGGUGACGGCUCACCAAGGCGAUGACGGGUAGCCGGUCUGAGAGGAUGUCCGGCCACACUGGAACUGAGACACGGUCCAGACACCUACGGGUGGCAGCAGUCGAGAAUCAUUCACAAUGGGGGAAACCCUGAUGGUGCGACGCCGCGUGGGGGAAUGAAGGUCUUCGGAUUGUAAACCCCUGUCAUGUGGGAGCAAAUUAAAAAGAUAGUACCACAAGAGGAAGAGACGGCUAACUCUGUGCCAGCAGCCGCGGUGAUACAGAGGUCUCAAGCGUUGUUCGGAAUCACUGGGCGUAAAGCGUGCGUAGGCUGUUUCGUAAGUCGUGUGUGAAAGGCGCGGGCUCAACCCGCGGACGGCGCAUGAUACUGCGAGACUAGAGUAAUGGAGGGGGAACCGGAAUUCUCGGUGUAGCAGUGAAAUGCGUAGAUAUCGAGAGGAACACUCGUGGCGAAGGCGGGUUCCUGGACAUUAACUGACGCUGAGGCACGAAGGCCAGGGGAGCGAAAGGGAUUAGAUACCCCUGUAGUCCUGGCAGUAAACGGUGCACGCUUGGUGUGCGGGGAAUCGACCCCCUGCGUGCCGGAGCUAACGCGUUAAGCGUGCCGCCUGGGGAGUACGGUCGCAAGAUUAAAACUCAAAGAAAUUGACGGGGACCCGCACAAGCGGUGGAGUAUGUGGCUUAAUUCGAUGCAACGCGAAGAACCUUACCUGGGCUUGACAUGUAAUGAACAACAUGUGAAAGCAUGCGACUCUUCGGAGGCGUUACACAGGUGCUGCAUGGCCGUCGUCAGCUCGUGUCGUGAGAUGUUUGGUUAAGUCCAGCAACGAGCGCAACCCCUGUUGCCAGUUACCAGCACGUGAAGGUGGGGACUCUGGCGAGACUGCCCAGAUCAACUGGGAGGAAGGUGGGGACGACGUCAGGUCAGUAUGGCCCUUAUGCCCAGGGCUGCACACGUACUACAAUGCCCAGUACAGAGGGGGCCGAAGCCGCGAGGCGGAGGAAAUCCUAAAAACUGGGCCCAGUUCGGACUGUAGGCUGCAACCCGCCUACACGAAGCCGGAAUCGCUAGUAAUGGCGCAUCAGCUACGGCGCCGUGAAUACGUUCCCGGGUCUUGUACACACCGCCCGUCACAUCAUGGAAGCCGGUCGCACCCGAAGUAUCUGAAGCCAACCGCAAGGAGGCAGGGUCCUAAGGUGAGACUGGUAACUGGGAUGAAGUCGUAACAAGG